rnacentral:rRNA from 1 species
CCCUUAGAUGUUCUGGGCUGCACGCGUGCUACACUGAUAUUGCCAAUAUGUCAUUCUUAUCCGAAACGGAUUGGGUAAUCAAGUAAUGAAAUUUCAUGCUUGGAAUCGGUAAUUGCAAUUUUAUCGUGAACGAGGAAUUCCUAGUAAGCACUAGUCAUCAGCUAAUGUUGAUUAUGUCCCUGCCCUUUGUACACACCGCCCGUCGCUACUACUGAUUGGGUGUUCAAGUGAGAUGCUUAGACCCUUGUUGCAUGGUUCAUUAUUGUGCUCCGAAAGGAAAAAGUUUCAAGCUUGAGUGUCUAGAGGAAGUAAAAGUCGUAACA